rnacentral:pre_miRNA from 1 species
CAAGUACUCCCUCCGUCCCAAAAUACUGGUCAUCAAAAUGGAUAAAAAGGGAUGUAUUUAGAACUAAAAUACGUCUACAUACAUCUCGUUUUAUCCAUUUUGAUGACAAGUAUUUCCGGACGGAGGGAGUAUUUG